rnacentral:rRNA from 1 species
UACAGAGGGGGCAAGCGUUGUUCGGAAUUACUGGGCGUAAAGGGCGCGUAGGCGGUCUUGCAAGUCCUGUGUGAAAUCCCUCGGCUCAACUGAGGAACUGCACAGGAAACUGCUUGGCUUGAGUUCGGGAGAGGGAAGCGGAAUUCCGGGUGUAGCGGUGAAAUGCGUAGAUAUCCGGAGGAACACCGGUGGCGAAGGCGGCUUCCUGGACCGACACUGACGCUGAGGCGCGAAAGCUAGGGGAGCAAACAGG